rnacentral:rRNA from 1 species
AUAGUUGACGCCUGUGAUGGCGUGCCUUUUGCAUAAUGAGCCAACGAGUUAAUGUCAUAAGCGAGGUUAAGUAUUAGAGGUAUGGAGCCGUAGCGAAAGCGAGUCCGAAGAGGGCGGAAUAAGUUUAUGGUAUUAGACCCGAAACCAGGUGAUCUACCUAUGGUCAGGUUGAAAGUUGGGUAAAACCAACUGGAGGACCGCACCAACCGUCGUUGAAAAGGCGGUGGAGGAACUGUGGGUAGGGGUGAAAGGCCAAACAAACCUGGAGAUAGCUGGUUCUCUCCGAAACAUAUUUAGGUAUGGCCUCAGUGGAGAUUAUUGGAGGUAGAGCACUGAAUGGGCUAGGGGGCUUACACGCUUACUGAACCCAAUCAAACUCCGAAUGCCAAUAAUUGCUCACUGGGAGACAGGGCGCGGGCGAUAAGGUUCGCGUGCGAGAGGGGAACAACCCAGACUGUCAGCUAAGGCCCCGAAAUAGAUACUUAGUGCGUAAGGAUGUUCAAUUGCCCAGACAGCCAGGAUCUUGGCUUAGAAGCAGCCAUGAUUUAAAGAGUGCGUAACAGCUCACUGGUCGAGUGGUAGGGCACCGAAGAUAAUCGGGACUGAAGUAUCUUGCCGAAGCUGCGGACUUGCAUAUAGAUGUGAGUGGUAGGAGAGCAUUGUGAUUGCGCAGAAGGUGUAUUGUGAGAUAUGCUGGAGCGGUCACAAGAGACCAUGUUGGCAUGAGUAACGAUAAUGCGGGUGAGAAACCCGCACACCAUAAGCCCAAGGAUUCCUGAGUAAAGUUAAUCUUCUCAGGGUUAGUCGGUCCCUAAGGUAUAGCGAUAAGGCGAAGCUGAUGGGAAUCAGGUUAAUAAUCCUGAACCUGAGUAUUGAGUGAAGGAGUGACGCGACGGUGCUGCAGGGACAGCUGUUGGAAUAGCUGUUGAAUGCAGGUAGGAAGUGGGACAGGCAAAUCCGUUCCACGGAUAUUCCGAGAUGCAGGACGAGGCGUAAGCCGUAAAGCUUGUUUAGAGACGUUGCCGAGAAAUAGCUUCUAGCGUUAAUCAAUAUUCAGACCGUACCGCAAACCGACACAGGUGGGCGAGGAGAGUAUCCUAAGGUGUUCGAGCGAACUCUGGUUAAGGAACUAGGCAAAAUUACCCCGUAACUUCGGGAGAAGGGGUGCCCCGUUAUCGUGAGUAGUGAACGCUAUGAGCGAGAGGGGGUCGCAGUGAAUAGGCCCAAGCGACUGUUUAUCAAAAACACAGGUCUAUGCGAAGGCGAAAGCCACGGUAUAUAGACUGACACCUGCCCGGUGCCGGAAGGUUAAGUGGAGAGGUUAGCCUGCACUAAUUUUAUCAUAGUGAAGGGUGAAAAGUGAAGAAUGUAAAAUUUACAAUGUAUAAUGAAUGUGAGAGAUGGUGAAAUUAGUGCAGGCGAAGCUUCGAAAUGAAGCCCCGGUAAACGGCGGCCGUAACUAUAACGGUCCUAAGGUAGCGAAAUUCCUUGUCGGGUAAGUUCCGACCUGCACGAAUGGUGUAACGAUUUGGGCGCUGUCUCAACCAGGGACUCGGUGAAAUUGAAGUAGCGGUGAAGAUGCCGCUUACCCGCGAACGGACGGAAAGACCCCGUGAACCUUUACUGUAGCUUGGCAUUGUAAAUUGGUGCAGUAUGUGUAGGAUAGGUGGGAGGCUAUGAGGCGUGCACGCCAGUGUGCGCGGAGCCAGCGUUGAAAUACCACCCUUAUUGUAUUGAUUUACUAACGAUAGAGCAACUAUUGGACAUUGCCAGGUGGGCAGUUUGACUGGGGCGGUCGCCUCCGAAAGAGUAACGGAGGCUUACCAAGGUUCCCUCCGGCUGGUUGGUAAUCAGCCAAAGAGCGCAAAGGUAUAAGGGAGCUUAACUGCGAGACCGACGGGUCGAGCAGGUGGGAAACCAGGUCUUAGUGAUCCGGCGGUUCUGAAUGGAAGGGCCGUUGCUCAAAGGAUAAAAGGUACUCCGGGGAUAACAGGCUGAUACCGCCCAAGAGUUCAUAUCGACGGCGGUGUUUGGCACCUCGAUGUCGGCUCAACUCAUCCUGGGGCUGAAGAAGGUCCCAAGGGUUCGGCUGUUCGCCGAUUAAAGAGUUACGCGAGCUGGGUUCAGAACGUCGUGAGACAGUUCGGUCCCUAUCCUUCGUGGGCGUAGGAAAUUUGAGGAGCACUGCAUUUAGUACGAGAGGACCGGUGUGGACGAACCUCUGGUGUACCGGUUGUGAUGCCAAUUGCAUUGCCGGGUAGCCAAGUUCGGUUAGGAUAACCGCUGAAAGCAUCUAAGCGGGAAGCCAGCUCCGAGAUAAGAUUUCCCCAUAGAGAGGUUGGAGACGACAACCUUGAUAGGUUACAGGUGUAAGCGCAGUAAUGCGUUGAGCCGAGUAAUACUAAUAACUCAAUUGGCUUUCACCU